UUUUUCUUAUACCUAUUCACAUUCCAACGUUAUCCUUUUAUUUUCUUAUACCCAUUCACAUUCCAAUGUCUUUUUUUUUUCUUCUACCCAUAAAUUUAAACCAUUUUAUUCUCUUCUCCCAAUCUAAUUUCUCUUCUCCCAAUCCCUUCUCAUCAAUGCUAUUUCUUUUCCCAAUUUAUAUUUAUAUAUAUGGUGUACAACAUACCGAUCCUCACUCUCAUCAUCGACGAACCACCGAAACCCCAACGUCUCUCUUCACCUCCUCCCACAUCGCACAAGUUCAUUCACCUCAUUCUGAUCCUCACCCUUUCUGCUUCUUCAUCCUCUACUUCGUUCACUUGCGAAAAGAAGCGAUGGAUUAUCGAGUAGAAGUUUGCAGUAGAUUCUGAAGUUUUCAGAAUUUUUAUGACCUUACCUGAUUUUCAUCUUUUGCAGGUGAUUCUUCUGGUUCUUCGUUUCCAUUCUGCAUACUCGAGAAUUAAAUUGCUCGGUUACUCCGUGUGGAUCUCACAUCUAACGCUCCUUCAAAAAUCCAAACAUGUUUACUUGUCUUCGUUGAGUUCUUCCAUUACGGUUGUCAAGAGGAUGCUCACGAGUUUAUCCUGUUCAUGUUUGAUGUGGGAGCUUUGGGAAAGGAAGUGUCAGGAUGAAUCCUAAACGGUUAAUUGGAAAACAGUUCGUACAUAACCUUGGAGAAGAAUGGUGGUUUAUUUGGUUUGCUGUAUUUAUGGUCAAGUAUUUUGGAUCCCCAGUUGCUGGUGUGGGCUUCAUUGGUUCUUUGGCGAGAAGUCGCCUAAAGCACGAGGAACACAAGUAGUAUUCUCUAAGUUUUAUUUUACUAAAAAUGGUGGAUGAAACUUACCUUAUUCUGUUUCAGCGUAUUUGUAAGCUUUUCAAUAGUUUUCAGCAAUGCUCCUCAAAUUUUGAAAACGUUUUCUUUGGGGUUGUAUGCCACAUUACUGGAUUUGGGUAUACAAGUAUCCUCCAUCUCACAGGCUUAUUGCUAAUGGGAUUCCUGAUUAUUUUUGAACAUGUCGUACCUUGAGUAUACCUUACGGAUGUUAGAGUAAAUUUUCUGUUUAGGUUAAUAAGUUCAUAUAAGAUCUUGCAAGUGGUGAUGCCUUAGGUAUUGUUUUAGAAUAGAAAUUGACAAGUGGAGUUGAAAACUCAUCUUUCAUUGAUGUUUCUAAAGUAAGGCAACCUCUAGAAUUAUUACUUUGUAUGUUUGUAUGGUCGGUUAACUUUGUUAUGCAUUGGUCUUGACUCAUCUGUUAACUUCAUUACUUUACGAACUUCUCUAUAUUGCUUUUUCAAAGCCAAGCAACCAAGAAUAAAUCCCUUUCAGUUAAAUAAGUAUUGUUAAUGGCUUUUCUCCGUGAUUCAAGCGACGACAUUUUGUCAUUACAUCUUUUGACUAAUUGAGAUUUUUUUUCCGGCGCCGCUGACAGCCAUGAUCAUUUUAACAUCAUUGUUGCUUGAAGCCUUAGAGAUUAGAUACAGUAUGUUCUGACUUUUGAUAAUAUUUCAACAAUGGAAAGAGUGUGUGUUAAGAAUUAAAAGCUGAACUACUCAUGGGAUAAAGAAAAAUGAUGAUUUCACUCACAUUCACAUUUGCAAUCUUCUUAGACGAGUUCAAAGCAGUGUUACAACCAUGAUCAAUAUUGUUUGACAAAAACAAGUGUAAACAUUGGUCUUUAUUAUUAGUAGAACAUACAAACCUAUCAAUCAUUACUAACAGUGUAUUACAUUGGUGAUUGAAAUGUGUCUUGGAAUAAAUUUUCUCUUGGAAUUAAUAGUCUAUUCGAUUCUUAGU